ensembl:lncRNA
GAACAGCCGUCCCCUGAGGGUCUGCCUUGUGCCCAGCAGUCAGGGAGGCAGACCGCCCCCUCCCUCCAGGGCACCCAGAGGAGCCGGCGAGAGAGCUGAGCUGCGUGGUAUAAGCCAGCAAAGGAUUAGAUGGGCUUGGGUGCUGCGGAGGGGGCUGCAGCCCAGCCUGGAGGUCCCCCCCGCCAAGAGGCCCUACGGGUUCUGUGUGCGAUGACCUCCUCCAGGCAGCCAGGCAUGGCCCUGGGUUGCCUGGUAUCCCUGGGACCCACAGCUCAGCAGCUCAGAACGGCUCUUCACCUCCGAGGCUCCUCCUCUGAGACCGGUGGGCGAGGGGGAGCUUUGGCUUCUAACCCACCAGGAUGUGCUGGGUCCUCUCCUCCAGGGUGAGGACGGUCCAUCCUUGGGUCAGGGGGAUCGGUGGCAGGGUAGCCUCCUGCGUGGAUCCCAAGGCUCUGGGCUGCUACCACUCGCCCUAGCGUGAGCCCUCUCCUACAAGCCUACGGACCAAUAUGUUGUCCCAUUCCACGGCCUGUGCUGAGUCCCGACCCAGGCUCAGAGAGGUUGAGACAUCCACCUAUGAUUGCACAGCCAGGAGGUGCCCUCAUCGUACCUUGGGCUGCCUCCAUUUAGGUGAGGCCUCAGACCAAAGUGGGAAGAAGGCGGGUGGCCUGAGGCCAGGAUGGGCUCUGCUGACCACCUGGCUGGGGACCCUGGGCCCAGACACUGAAGAGGGAUCUCCAGCUUUUAGAAUCUUCCGACUGCUGAAUCUGAGGACCAGAGGCUCUUAGAAUCAUGAAAUCAUGGGCCUCCCAGGAUGUUUGGGAUAAUAUUUAAAAA